rnacentral:rRNA from 1 species
CCUACGGGAGGCAGCAGUGGGGGAUAUUGCACAAUGGGGGAAACCCUGAUGCAGCGACGCCGCGUGUGGGAAGACGGUCCUCUGGAUUGUAAACCACUGUCCCCAGGGACGAAGAUGACGGUACCUGUGGAGGAAGCUCCGGCAAACUAGGUGCCAGCAGCCGCGGUGAAACGUAGGGAGCGAGCGUUGUCCGGAAUUACUGGGUGUAAGGGGAGCGUAGGCGGGACUGCAUGUUGGGUGGCAAAUCUACCGGCUCAACCGGUCGCCGCACUCAAAACUGCAGUUCUUGAGUGAAGGAGAGGCAGGCGGAAUUCCUAGUGUAGCGGUGAAAUGCGUAGAUAUUAGGAGGAACACCAGUGGCGAAGGCGGCCUGCUGGGCUGUUACUGACGCUGAGGCUCGAAAGUGUGGGGAGCAAACAGGAUUAGAUACCCCUGUAGUC